rnacentral:misc_RNA from 1 species
GAUGAAGAACGUAGCGAAAUGCGAUAAGUAAUGUGAAUUGCAGAAUUCAGUGAGUCAUCGAAUCUUUGAACGCACAUUGCGCCCCCUGGUAUUCCGGGGGGCAUGCCUGUCCGAGCGUCAUUACAACCCUCAAGCUCAGCUUGGUGUUGGGCCCCGCCGCCCCGGCGGGCCCUAAAGUCAGUGGCGGUGCCGUCCGGCUCCGAGCGUAGUAAUUCUUCUCGCUCUGGAGGUCCGGUCGUGUGCUCGCCAGCAACCCCCAAUUUUUUUCAGGUUGACCUCGGAUCAGGUAGGGAUACCCGCUGAACUUAAGCAUAUCAAUAAGCGGAGGA